rnacentral:rRNA from 1 species
UACGGAAUGUGCAAACGUUAUUCGGAAUCACUGGGCUUAAAGAGUCCGUAGGCGGCAUGUUAGGUGAGGUGUGAAAUCCCCCGGCUCAACCGAGGAAUUGCGCUUCAAACCGGCGUGCUAGAGGAAGAUAGAGGUGGGCGGAACUGAUGGUGGAGUGGUGAAAUGCGUUGAUAUCAUCAGGAACACCGGAGGCGAAGGCGGCCCACUGGGUCUUUUCUGACGCUGAGGGACGAAAGCUAGGGGAGCGAACGGG